ACCUGGAACCUGCAGGAGUCACAGUCUCAGUGUUCCCAAUGUUCUCAAUGGACCUCCUGAGGAGCAUUUAGCUGAAGAUCUGUAUCUGUGGAGACAUUAGAGGCCAGGAGGAGGAGGAGGAGGAGGAGGAGGAGGAGAGGCUUCAGGCUGCAGAAGGUUAAUGAAGGCAGAGCAGCUGGGAUUAUCGCCCUGAAUAGAGGCGGGGAUAAACGGAGUAAAUGCUGCCGGUCAACGAGGAUCAGACAGACUCAGAGGGAAGAAGGAGGAGGAGGAGAAGAAGAAGGAGAAGAAGUCUUCUUAGGAGACCAGCAGAUUCAACUGGAUUCUGAUGUUUCUUCCUCAGACGCUUUCAUCAGGACAGCUUUUAUUCUGAAAAUAUCACCGAUGAAGAGAAGGAGAGGAGGCACACGGUGGAAAAUGACUCAUUUUAACCACCGAACAAUUUAUUUCAGCACAUUUUAUGGGUUUAUAUAUUUAUUUAUUUAUUCUUCUUUUAUUAUUUACUUAUUUGUUAUUCUUUUAUUAUUUACUUAUCACUUUUAUUAAUUUAUUAUUAAUUUAUUAUUAUUUGUUAUUUCUCUUAUUUCAUUAUUUCAUUAUUUAUUUAUUUAUUUAUUAUUUCCAAAUGUUCACAGUAAUGUUAAGUUACAGAUGAUAGCUAAUUAAUUUACAGAAAAAUUUUAAUUUUUUUUUACAAUGUUAGACUGUUAAAAUUGGGUUAUUUUUGUAUAUAUUUAAUUUUAUUAUUUUUUGUUAAAUGUGUUGGAACAGGACAGUUUUCCACAAUUUUUCUGUGGAUUUGAAAUUUUUUUAAAUGUAUAUCAAGGAGUAAAAAUUUGUAAAUAAUUUUAUUUAACAAGCAUUUUUUACUGAUUUUUCCAGUUUCAGAUAAUAACCAAUGAAAAUAAAUUAAUUAAUCAAAAAUAGAUGAAUAAAUAAAUAAACAAUAAAUAAAUAACAGGACAAAACUGUAAAUAACGUCAAAAUUCAAUUAAAAUUAUAUUUAAAAAAUUUUAAUUUUUUUGCAAAGUUUGACUGUUAAUAUUGUGUUAUUAUUGUACUUUUUUUAUUUUCUUUUGAACAGUUUGUGAACAGGACAAUUUCCACUAACACUCCUUUGUAUAUUACAUUUUUUAAAAAUGUAUAUCGAGGAGUGAAAAUUGUAAAUAAUCUUAUAUAAUUGUUAUUUUACAGAUUUUUUUCCCAGUUUCUUAAAUUGCAGAUAAAAACUAACAAACUCAAUAAAUAAAUAAAUAACAGGACAAAACUGUAAAUAACGUCAAAAUUCAAUCAAAAUUGUAUUUCAAAAAUUGUAAUUAAAUUUUUUUUAACAAA